GGCGAUGGUAGCUAGAGGCGAUCUUGGAGCUGAGCUUCCUAUUGAGGAGGUCCCACUUCUACAGGAAGAGAUAAUUAAUAUGUGCCGGAGCAUGGGAAAAGCUGUUAUUGUGGCCACAAAUAUGCUGGAAAGUAUGAUUGUUCAUCCUACUCCAACUCGGGCGGAGGUUUCGGACAUUGCCAUAGCAGUUCGUGAAGGAGCUGAUGCAGUUAUGCUCUCUGGGGAGACCGCUCAUGGAAAGUAUCCUCUUAAAGCCGUGAAAGUCAUGCAUACUGUAGCUUUGAGGACUGAAGCAACUAUUGUUGGAGGAGAGAAACCGGCCAAUCUUGGUCAUGCUUUCAAGAAUCACAUGAGCGAAAUGUUUGCUUACCAUGCAACAAUGAUGUCAAACACUCUUGGCACCUCAUUAGUAGUCUUCACCCGAACUGGGUUCAUGGCCAUCCUACUCAGCCACUAUCGGCCGUCCGGCACCAUUUAUGCUUUUACAAAUGAGGAGAGAGUGAGGCAGAGACUGUCCCUGUACCAAGGUGUCUGCCCCAUAUAUAUGGAAUUUAAAGAGGAUGCUGAGGAAACUUUUACCGGGGCUUUAUCUUACUUACAGAAACAAGGAAUGGUGAAGGAAGGUGAAGAGGUGGCCCUUGUUCAGAGCGGAAGGCAACCGAUCUGGAGGUUCCAGUCCACCCACAACAUCCAGGUCAGGAAGGUCUAGCAUGGCAAGGUUAAACCAGAAAUAUUUCGGAACCUCGCUCCUGCCUCUGUUUCAGGAAAGGUUCCGACCGUAUUAGCUAGUGAUGAUCUGUGUUCCAUAGUUUGUGUGAGUUUGAAUAGUUU
rnacentral:misc_RNA from 1 species